GCCCGUAUAGCUCAGUGGUAGAGCGCAUCACUCGUAAAUCUUCCCGACCUCGGGAAAGUGCAACUACGAUAUGAUGAGGUCUGCGGUUCAAUCCCGCAUGGGGGCA